UACGGAGGGAGCUAGCGUUGUUCGGAAUUACUGGGCGUAAAGCGCGCGUAGGCGGCUUUGUAAGUUAGAGGUGAAAGCCCGGAGCUCAACUCCGGAACUGCCUUUAAAACUGCAUCGCUUGAAUCCAGGAGAGGUGAGUGGAAUUCCGAGUGUAGAGGUGAAAUUCGUAGAUAUUCGGAAGAACACCAGUGGCGAAGGCGGCUCACUGGACUGGUAUUGACGCUGAGGUGGCGAAA
rnacentral:rRNA from 1 species